ACAUUAACUGAGUUUACUUUUGGAAGGAGCUGAAGCGAUAACAGAGCAGAAGAACAACGACAAAAACCUCACAUUGACUGAGGAUAUGGCUCCUAAGAAUGUUGAUGGUGAGGAAAAAGUACAAUGGCCUUCCAAACAUGAAGAGUUUUUUAUACAUAUAUUGCAUGAUCAUGUGAAGAAGGGUGACUUGCAAGCAUCAACCUUUAAAACGAAAGUUUGGUCUGAAAUAAGCGAGGAGUUGUUAGCAAAAUGUGGAAAAAAAUGCACUGUUAAGCAACUUAAGUCUAAGUUUAAUAGGUUGCGAAUUGCACAU